UCUACCAAACGACCCCUACGUCUCCUCUCCAGAUUGGCAUUUGUUGUUGCACCCAUUUGUACGUGGCAUUUGUUCUUGACCCCACCUUUCUCCCGAAACCCAUCACGUUCGUCAUAAUCUGUUCACCAUGCUCUUUGUAAGCUUUGACCUACGUCUGUUGUUAUCAUGUGCGACUCGGUUGAAAUUCAUCUACGGUAGAUAUACUUGAAAUCUUUUUACGCUAAUGAUAAGUGUUUGAGACCUUCAAUCAUGGCCAGAUUUCUUUUUUGAUGUUGAUGAAGUUUCAAGAAUAUCAAAAGUUGCCAUGAACUACUUCAUGUUGUUGAAUUUGGGUGAGUCAAGAGUUGCCCAAGAAGAAGGUAAAAUUCUGUACUCUUUUUUUUCAAGUUUGGUGGUUGGGUUAAGUGAAUGGUGCAUAAAAAGGUAUAUGUGAUUUUUUUAGAAAGUCAAAUUUUGUGCAAGAAAUCAAGAAUUCUGAUAUACUGAAGUUGUUUCUUUUUCUUCCUCCUGUUCAGCAAAGUUUCUUGAGGAAAGAUCAAUUAUUUGAGUUUUUAUUAGAGGUAAAGUGAGGAGUAGAAAGGUUCUGUUCAGUUAGAUUUUUUGUAUGGUAGAAAAAUGGAGCAUGCUCUCCACUUUUUGCAUGAUUUUUUGUUAGGUUUGUUGGGCCUAUUUUUUUCUUCUUUUUGUAAUUAGUUUGGGCAGUGGCACUUUUAAUCUUGUUGUGCAAGUGAUUGGUUUGAGCAGUGGCACUGUUAAUUUUGUUGUGAAGUGAUUCUAACCUCCUGACUAGCUUUAGAGCACACGGCAAUUGGUACUACUUCGCUAUCGGUCACUAUUAACGACGAUUCAGCUUGUGUUCAUCGAAUUGACUCCACUCCAGAGAACAAAAUCAAAGAAGGAGCUCCCUCAACUAUUGUUGAAGCCAUCUGACAACGUCACAAGAGCAUAAACAACAGGUAUCUACAGUAUUAGGUAUAUUUUUGUCAAUUGAGAUACUUUUUUUCAACAUGAUGAUUUAGUUCAAUUCAUGUUUACGAUUGAAAUUUGUUUCAUUCAUUCUUCAAUAUUUGAUCUUUUUCAUGAAAAAAAUAAAUUUUCCUUGUUCUAUAUUAGAAUGAGUGUGAUGAUGGUAUCGACAAUGAGUGUGGUAGUAAUCGUCCUUCAAUCUUAGAAGAAUGAGUAUGAUGAUGGUAUCAACAAUGAGUAUGGUAGUAAUCGUCCUUCAAUCUGAUUAAUUCAUACGUGAUAUUUUUUUCAAUGAAACCAACACAGUUUUCUUUCAUCGCUAUUGCUUCUUCUAUCGAAGGUUUAGAGCUGAAAAUUUAAGUAAAUUAAAGUUGCCAAGGAUAUAGAAGUAGUAAAGAAAAAGUUAGAUCAAGUGUCUGCUAUCUAUCAAUAUAAAUUCUGCAUCCCAAGUCAUUUGCUGUUUAACUUUAAGUCAUGAAUAACUUUAAGCACAAUAAAAGGGGAUGUAUUAUGCUUUUAACUCUCCCACGGUUUAGGCUCAACUAAUCAAACUUAGUUCGUGCUUUGAAGAAUUCUGUGUUUAUAGUUGAAUGAUUAUGUACUUAAAUCAAAUUUCAUCUUGAUUUUCAAUAUUAUGUACUUGGAGAAAAUAUUGACUUGAUAGUAUCUAUCGUUGCACUACUUGAUUGGCAAACCGAUUUGUAAAAAAAAGAUUUAUAAACACUUCUCAAAAAGGGCAGGUGUGAGGAUAAUUUAAGCUAGAUAGUGGACUAAUAUUCACUAUAACACUAUCUAAUCUUUGAAGGUUCAUAGUGUACCGUAAACUCCAUUCCACAUAUUUUGGUACAUGUAUCUGUCAUAUUUCAUUUCAACUCUCCUUUUCUAAACAAUAAGUCAAGAACCAUCAUGGUCACAUGUUCUCAUGAGAAAUGUGGCCAACAGAUUCACCAUUUUCCUUUCUCUUUAUUUUUGUGAGGACAGAGGUUGUGAUGAUUACAAUAGGUGUUGCAGCUCUAAAUACAAAAGUAUAUUUUCAAUGGAGUUGCAUCGUACAGUAAGUUUUUCAUAAAUUUCGGUAAUUAUAAAUCAUAUCCUUCAUUGUUUUUUCCUUUGUGUUUUGGCUAUUUGGGUGUUGGAUUUGGUAUUUUAGGUUUGAUGUUUGCAGCCCUAUGUGAUAUGAACCAUCUGUUCACUCUUGAAACACUUGAUUGGUAUUCAAACGAAAAGCACUUCUGAUGGAGGUCAGCAAAAAUAUGAAGAUGCGGAUGUUUACAGCAAUGAAUUUUUUAUAUAUUCUAUUUGGCUAUUAAUGUGCCACGUGAUUUCUUAAUUUCAUAAAUAGUGAAAUGAACAAUUUGAAUUGUGUUGGAUUUGAUUUUGCAAGUGCUUUAGAUGGAAAGCAAAAA